rnacentral:rRNA from 1 species
UAGAGCUUGAUCAUGGCUCAGAUUGAACGCUGGCGGCAGGCCUAACACAUGCAAGUCGAGCGGUAGAGAGARGCUUGCUUCUCUUGAGAGCGGCGGACGGGUGAGUAAUGCCUAGGAAUCUGCCUGGUAGUGGGGGAUAACGUUCGGAAACGAACGCUAAUACCGCAUACGUCCUACGGGAGAAAGCAGGGGACCUUCGGGCCUUGCGCUAUCAGAUGAGCCUAGGUCGGAUUAGCUAGUUGGUGAGGUAAUGGCUCACCAAGGCUACGAUCCGUAACUGGUCUGAGAGGAUGAUCAGUCACACUGGAACUGAGACACGGUCCAGACUCCUACGGGAGGCAGCAGUGGGGAAUAUUGGACAAUGGGCGAAAGCCUGAUCCAGCCAUGCCGCGUGUGUGAAGAAGGUCUUCGGAUUGUAAAGCACUUUAAGUUGGGAGGAAGGGCAGUUACCUAAUACGUAAUUGUUUGACGUACCGACAGA